ensembl:lncRNA
GGAAACUCAUGAAGUUGUGAAAAUAAUUUAAAUGAUCUAUAUGUCACCAGCUUUGUGUGAAAAAAGCCAGAGAGAUCUCAGAAUAAGAAGUGCUCUCAGGUUUUCUAACCUCUCAGCAGGAAACAGGCUGGAAUAUAGGCUAUCUAGUCCAUUUCUUAUGGAAAAGAAGUGAUGAUUCAUGAUGAGAUCAAAAUCCCAGAAGGCAGAGUCAGGAGCCAUGGAUAAUUUUCCCAAGACUCAGGAUUAGGACGGAAUAUGAGAACUGGCAAAACUUGUCUAGUUAGAUUUCAAAAUUUCUCUGAGUGAUGACUGCAACAUGCCUCUAAGUCUCCCUCCUUUUAAACAGGAGUGUCUAUAGUAGUUAUCCUGACUCUUUUCUAGCGCUGUAUUUUGGGUGUGCAGGGGCAUAUACCUUUGUUUGUUCCUAGGUCUUUAUAUUGAGAGGAACUGUACUCAAGGAACACAUACCUGAAGAGUCUCAUCAUUCCUGAUAAUGAUUUAUAUGCAACAUCUUGGACUUUGAGCUAAUGCUGUACGGGGAUGCUACUUAGGAAGUCUUGAAAGGGAGAGCGUGUAUUUUGGAUUUAGAAGGAAUGGAAAUGAUUUAUUAUCAGAGAGUGGACUAUAGAGGAUUAAAGAUGGCCACAGAUUUUGUGACACUCCUCCCUUUGAGAGGUGGGAUCUGUUUUUCUCCUCUUGAAACAGGGCUGAACUGUGGCUGCUUUGACUAAUGGAACACAGUGAAGUGAUGCUUUGACAGUCUACCCCCAGUAUUUAAGAGGACUUCAAGCUUCUGCUUCAAUAUCUUGGAUACUGAAUAUAUUCUAAGUGAUAGAACACAUGGAGAAGUCUUGAGACUGCAUGGAGAGAGAGAAGGGUCCAGCAGAAACCAUUGACUCAGAAAAUGGAACCUGGACUUUCUGGGUUGUGAGAGGAUUUAGAAAGUCCCCUAAUCCAGACUUUUUCAUUUGGAGCUGAGAAGUUGGAGGCCCACAUCAGGGAAGUAACCGAUCUUGAAGAGCUUUGAAUUUUGAGUGGUUCAAAUUCUCGUCUUUCGUAUGAUUCAUUAUUGUGGAUGUAAGAAUAGCAACAUGGAAGAGUAAAAACAAGAGUAGAUUAGAAAUAGGGAAAAUUAAUACUGGGUCCCACUCUCCCCACUUGCUAUUUGAUGCUGAGUAGGGCACUUAAUGCCUUUGCCUUCUAGAGGUGGACUUUAGCAUCUCUAGAAAAGGAAGAGCAAUGUCUAGAGUUCAGGUGAUCAUAAAGGCCUCUCAUGCUUGAAUAUGGUGUUCAUUUUGGUUGUAACUAUAACCUACAAAGUGGGAAUACAACAUAGAAGACUUAAAGUCUUUACUUUUAAGAAUUUCAUGAGGAGCUCCAUGCUGAACACGCACACACACACACACACUCACAGAUACACAAAUGCAUACUUCAUGAAGACUAGAACACCACACUAAAUUUAUACUUAAACACAUGAAAAUGAUAACUCAUGUUGUAUAAAUUCAGAGGUAUAGAGAUCAUUAGAGGUGGUGUUGUUGGGUCACUUCUUAUGAUAAAAGCAAAUCAUGAAGUAACCCUUGAAUGACCACAUAGAGAAGAGUGCAGACUGUAGUCCAAACAAAAAGACAAGAACAGGUAAAGGUAAAAAAGUUGGAAUGAGGAAAGGUAGGAAAUAAAUAGACAAGAGAUGGUGUAACUGGUGUGAAAGCCAAUUGUGAGGAUGGUGAUUAAAAUUUUUUGAAAGGUACAUUAAUUUUGCUGCUUAUAUUCAACAAAUAUUUAUAGAGUUCUUACUUUUUGCAAGCCCUGUGCUAAGUUGCAAGAUACAGCAUUGAGCAGGACAAAUAUAGUCCUUGUAUGUAUGGAUCUUCCACUCUAGAAGUGGGGCCAAUAAUUAAAAAUUAGAUGUGAUGAACAUUGUGAAGGGAAAGCCCCAAGGACUGUGAGUGAAAAUGGGGACCCAAUCAAGCUGUUCUCUGUAAUAUCUACUACAUCAUCCAUGCUUCUUUUGCCUCCACCUUCUUUAAGGCUCAGAGAUAGCUAUUGUCCUGUAGUUCUGCACAGCCUUUGAUAUAUAGCUAUUUAAUUUCAUUUUUCCCCUAUAUAUUUUGAACUCAUAGAAACCAGGGAUGAUGUUCUACUUAUGCUUAAACAUCCAGUGCCUAACCCAGAGCUUGGCAUACACUAGGUAGAGGGAGGAAAUUAAGAGCCAUCUUUCCUCUUCCUCCAUGAAGAACACAUCACCAUCCACAGUUUUUCUCUAGGUGGACUCUGCCAUGAUAAUUCCAAUGCUUUUGUGAAUUAUCAAACUAGAAUGAAUGCAUGUAGGGGCCAGCCUUCUGUGUCCUAAUGCUUUAUGUAUAUUGUUGCUUAGCAAUUCUGUGCAGCAAAUAUUGCUUGAUCAGCAGGCAAACACAAGCUCAAUUUUAAAAAAGAACGAUAGUUUAAUGCAUGUAUGGAUGUUUGGGGCAGCGUCAUGUAGUAACAUCAUUAACUGCAAAGAGGUGUGGAGAAACAAGAGAUAUCUAGGAGUCUUCAAUUUUUGUUUUGGAAUGUUGCAUUGCCAUUCUUCCUUUUCCUAACUCGAAUCCUAGGUUUGCAAUGAGGAGUGGAUGGGAUUUCAGGAGGAUUAAGUAAAUAAGUCAUAUUAAAAUGACAAAAUGGGUAAAUAGAAUAUAAUGUGGAAUGAAAUGUAAAUUGGAUUUAGGCAAACACUUUUAUACAGCCUUACCAUCCAACCCUGUCCGACCGCUUCCGAUUCCUACAGUGGCUUCUGUGCACAGUUCUAUUACAUGUUGCCACUCAAGGGCAUUUGAUGUUUUCUCUCUCUGGAAAUUCAUUUGCAUUUAAAUGAUUUGAAAUAAUCAUAAAAGCCAAGUGCUAUGAAGUUUGAAAUUAGUUACUGUCUAUAAAUUGCAAUGCCAUUAAAAGAUGAUUGUGGAGAGCUUUGCUGUCUCAAAUGUAGGCAGAUUAAAAUCUAACAAAGUACACCUUGUUACAAACCUGUAAAGAAUGAUGGGAUACAGAGUUAAAUUGAUUUAUUCUCCUACCUGUACCUAUAAACUUGAUGCACUUGAGUUUAUUCUUGAAGUAACAAACUUUUUCUUCUGGCCUAUAUCUGUCCUAUUUAAAUCUAUGGAUGUUUUAUAGAACUUGGUAGAUUUCAUUCUUAUCCCUAAUGGAAAAAUGAAAGGAGGGGAACUGGGCUGCAUUUUCUUUUCAUACCAGAGGAUCUGAGCAGCACGCUUUAAAAGAGAGGCUUGGAAACGAGCAAGUACAUGUUUGAAGGCCUCUAGUCAGCAUUAUCUCUGAUACAGAAACUCUUAGUCUAGACAUCCCGGAAGACCCAUACAGCAGUAGCACCAUGGCUAAAAGUGUAGGCUCAGAAGUCAGACGUUUUGGUUUCAAAUAACAAUUCUGAUUGUCCUUAGUUAGGUAACUCUGAGUGAGUUGCUUGAUCUUUCUGAUUCCAAACUGGGAAUAAUAAUAACAGCAUCUCUAUCAUAGGGUCAUAAAGAGAGUAGAAAAAAAUAAGGCACAUGAGGAUUUAGUACAGUACCUAGGGCAUGGUAAGUACUCAACAAGUGUUAGCUAUUAUCUUUUAAAAGACAUAUCAAAGAUGCUCUACCUUUGACUUCGCUUCCCAGGCUCAACACUUGAGAUCAUUUUCACACAUGGCCUCAAAAUUUUGACGCUUGUUCCAACAAAAAAUGAGGUAUACAUUUCUACCCUUUGAAUCUGGCCUCUUGACUUUUGACCAAUAGAAUACAGAAGAAAUGAAACCAUGCUACUUUCUGGGCCCAAGCUGGAAGAAACUGGCAAUUUCAUCUUCCUUGUUCUUAGAAUUCUCAUUCUUGGAACAUGAUCAUCAUGCUAUGGCGAAACUCAAGUCACUCCAGGGAGAAACUCGUGUGCAGAGAAACUAAUAGCUAACCAUAUUAGUUUCCUAGGGCUGCUGCUAAAAAGUACUACGAACUGGCUAGCUUAAACAAAAGAAAUGUAUUGUCUGACAGUUCUGGAGGCCAGAAGUCUGGGAUCAAGAUGUUAGUCUUACCUUGAAACCAACAAGAAAUCAUGGUUUAUUCCUUCUGAGGGCUAAAAAAGCAUCUGUUUCAGGCCUCUCUCCUUGGUUUGUAGACGGCUGUCUUCUCCCUAUGUCUUCAUAGUCUUCCCCCUGUACAUGUCUGUGUCCAAAUUUCCCCCUCUUAUAAGGACACUAGUCAUAUUGAAUUGGGAUCCAUCACAAUGAACUCAUUUUAACUUGAUUACCUCUGUAAAGACCCUAUUUCCAAAUGAGACCACCUUCUGAGGUACUGGGGGUUAGGAUUCAACACAUGAAUUUGGGAAGGACAUAAUUCAACCCAUAGCACUAGCACAUAACUUGUCACUCAUGUGAGUGUGCUAGCUUUGAAGUGGUCCCUCAGCUUCCAUUAUAUAGCAU